rnacentral:rRNA from 1 species
CCUACGGGAGGCAGCAGUAGGGAAUCUUCCACAAUGGGCGAAAGCCUGAUGGAGCAACGCCGCGUGGGUGAAGAAGGUCUUCGGAUCGUAAAACCCUGUUGUUAGAGAAGAAAGUGCGUGAGAGUAACUGUUCACGUUUCGACGGUAUCUAACCAGAAAGCCACGGCUAACUACGUGCCAUCAGCCGCGGUAAUACGUAGGUGGCAAGCGUUAUCCGGAUUUAUUGGGAGUAAAGGGAACGCAGUCGGUCUUUUAAGUCUGAUGUGAAAGCCUUCGGCUUAACCGGAGUAGUGCAUUGGAAACUGGGAGACGUGAGUGCAGAAGAGGAGAGUGGAACUCGAGGUGUAGAGGUGAAAUGCGUAGAUAUAUGGAAGAACACCAGUGGCGAAGGCGGCUCUCUGGUCUGUAACUGACGCUGAGGUUCGAAAGCGUGGGUAGCAAACAGGAUUAGAGACCCGGGUAGUC